rnacentral:lncRNA from 1 species
CCACCUCCAAUCAAUCCUUUACCUUACCAUCAGCUCAGGAAGAAUGAAAAAAGGUCUUCAAGCAAGUCAAAUAAUCAUCCUACAAAGAAGAGUAGUUCUGCAGUUUCAGCUAAGCCCAAUGAUCACCAGAAGAGUUCGAAUAAGAACAGUUCAUUGAAGCCAACUGAUGUAGUUAGCAGGAAAAGCACUUCAGAUAUUAAAGCUGCAGAUACCAGUGGGAAGACCUUUGCCAAGGCGGUUGAUUUUGUCACCCCUCCUGGCUCCUCUAGGUAUCUCUUGGGUGACUCUGCGCUUUUUGAUGAUUAUGAUCCAGUUUGGGCAUUGGUUCCUGCAGAAGCAAAGAAGAUUCAAGCUAUAAAGCAAGAUCAAUCCAUCGUUUCCAAACCCUCUUCCUCCUCUCUCUCAGAGAAGCCUUCCACACAUCAGGUUUGCUCGUUCUCUGUUUCAUUUAUCACUAAAAUUUUUUUAUUGAAUUUUCAAUUUUGUAUAGCAUACCAUAGAAAGGUUGUUGAAUAUGAGUAUGACAAACCUGCAGUUUGCAGCUAAAUCUUCAAAAUUUUGUAAUCUUCAGAAUGUGCAAUCUGAAAUCUAUUACAAGCCAGGGUGGCUGCAAAACUUUAAAACUUUUAAUUUCCAAUUUCCAAUCGAUUUGCUGUCAG